AGUGCCUUCUUCAUCAUGUGCUCACAGUGCUCACCGAUCUUCUGAUGUAGCUUCCACCCCCUCCCCAGCUCUCCGGCAGACGCAAACCACCCUCAGAACUCCACCCGGGACAUCACCCAGAAGGUUUUCUCUGUUGCUGUCGCUUUCAUUUUCUUCUUUGGUCUGCCUUUUAUGUCAGUAUCUGGUUUCUAAGUGUAAGAAAGAAAGGAGGGCGUGGAGAUUUCAGUUCCCAGCAUGGAUGGCAGCAAUAGUAUCUCCUCUUCUGGUGCUCAUCAGUGCCUCCUGUUUCUAGGAAACUGCAGCAUUUCGGUUUGAUUUGAAUCUGGAUGAAGUCGAAGCGUCCCCUCUAAGUUCAGCAUGGGGACUGGUUCGCAGACGCAAUCAUUUCAGUUAUCAUCAGUUCUCAACAGGUUUCAUGCAGGUGCUCCUGGCUUUAUCAGAUUGGCUGCGGAGGUUGGGAGUUCUGUGCUCUAGGACCCAGAACUUGGGCAAACUGGCCUUCUGCGUAGACUCUGUGCCCCAGGCUAAUAUAGACAGGCGUGAACUGAGCCACAGACUGCUCAGCUCAUGAGCUCUGAAUUUUCUCUCCACAAGGUUCAAGGCUUGCUUUGGAGACAAAUCACUGAGGUCCAUGGCAGGUAUAGAGUGGAGUUCAAAUCUGCUCUUUGAGAAGAGAAGCCCAGAAGAGAGUGGAUUCUUGAAGCCCCAUGGAGGGCUAGCUACAUUUUACCUGGAGACAAGAUAAUCUGAGGGGCGAAGCCAGUGAUGCAGAGCACCAAGACUCAGAAGAUGAAUAUUGUGCCUGCUUUGGCGAGACAUGGUUCAGACUCAGAAGGAGUAUGUAACGAUAAUAAAGAGAAGAUAUGAUGAUA
rnacentral:lncRNA from 1 species